rnacentral:rRNA from 1 species
CAAAGAUUAAGCCAUGCAUGUCUAAGUAUAAACAAGUUUAUACCGUGAAACUGCGAAUGGCUCAUUAAAUCAGUUAUAAUUUAUUUGAUAUUCACUUACUACUUGGAUAACCGUGGUAAUUCUAGAGCUAAUACAUGCGUACAUAACCUCGACUUCUGGAAGAGGUGCACUUAUUAGAUAAAAAGCCAACGCGGGCAACCGCUUGUAUGGUGAUUCAUAAUAAUUAAGCGAAUCGCAUGGCCUUGUGCCGGCGAUGAUCCAUUCAAAUUUCUGCCCUAUCAAGUUUCGAUGGUAGGUUAGUGGCCUACCAUGCUUUUAACGGGUAACGGGGAAUUAGGGUUCGAUUCCGGAGAGGGAGCCUGAGAAACGGCUACCACAUCCAAGGAAGGCAGCAGGCGCGCAAAUUACCCAAUCCCGACACGGGGAGGUAGUGACAAUAAAUAACAAUACAGGGCCUUUACGGGUCUUGUAAUUGGAAUGAGUACAAUUUAAAUCCCUUAACGAGGAACAAUUGGAGGGCAAGUCUGGUGCCAGCAGCCGCGGUAAUUCCAGCUCCAAUAGCGUAUAUUAAAGUUGUUGCAGUUAAAAAGCUCGUAGUUGAAUUUUGGCCUUGGUUUGUGAGGUUCGGCCUUCACUGGUCGGUACCUUUACGAACCGGGCUCCACCUUCUGGGUUAGCCAGUUGUUACUUCGGUGCAGCUGGUGAACCAGAACUUUUACUUUGAAAAAAUUGGAGUGUUUAAAGCAGGCUUUCAAGCUUGAACAUAUUAGCAUGGAAUAAUGAAAUAGGACUUUGGCCUUAUUUCGUUGGUUUCUAAAGCCAAAGUAAUGAUGAAUAGGGAUAGUUGGGGACAUUAGUAUUCAAUUGUCAGAGGUGAAAUUCUUGGAUUUAUUGAAGACUAACUUCUGCGAAAGCAUUUGUCAAGGAUGUUUUCAUUAAUCAAGAACGAAAGUUAGGGGAUCGAAGACGAUCAGAUACCGUCGUAGUCUUAACCAUAAACUAUGCCGACUAAGGAUCGGAUGGUGUUAUAUUUUAUAUUGACCCAUUCGGCAUUUCAGCGAAAGCCAAGUUUUUGGGUUCCGGGGGGAGUAUGGUCGCAAGGCUGAAACUUAAAGG